rnacentral:rRNA from 1 species
CCUACGGGAGGCAGCAGUGGGGAAUUUUGGACAAUGGGCGAAAGCCUGAUCCAGCAAUGCCGCGUGAGUGAAGAAGGCCUUCGGGUUGUAAAGCUCUUUUGUCAGGGAAGAAACGGUGGGAGCUAAUAUCUCUUGCUAAUGACGGUACCUGAAGAAUAAGCACCGGCUAACUACGUGCCAGCAGCCGCGGUAAUACGUAGGGUGCAAGCGUUAAUCGGAAUUACUGGGCGUAAAGCGUGCGCAGGCGGUUUUGUAAGUCUGAUGUGAAAUCCCCGGGCUCAACCUGGGAAUUGCAUUGGAGACUGCAAGGCUAGAAUCUGGCAGAGGGGGGUAGAAUUCCACGUGUAGCAGUGAAAUGCGUAGAUAUGUGGAGGAACACCGAUGGCGAAGGCAGCCCCCUGGGUCAAGAUUGACGCUCAUGCACGAAAGCGUGGGGAGCAAACAGGAUUAGAUACCCUGGUAGUCCACGCCCUAAACGAUGUCUACUAGUUGUCGGGUCUUAAUUGACUUGGUAACGCAGCUAACGCGUGAAGUAGACCGCCUGGGGAGUACGGUCGCAAGNUUAAAACUCAAAGGAAUUGACGG